rnacentral:lncRNA from 1 species
AGGAAGGAAAACCAGCUCAAGGGUCCAGAGACACUUCGGGGAGAGUGGCUCCCCCUUCCUCUAUGGGGAAUCAGGUUGGCUGGUCCUGGCCUUCCUGGCAUCGCUCACCCCUGGGAGCUCAGUGUCAGCAGGAAAUGCCAAAUGAGCACAAACCUUUCCUGAAUCCCAACCAAAGGCUUUUAGGAACCUGGCACAUAAUACGAUGGGCAGGAGACAUGCCUAUUCCCGCAAAGAAGAAGACCAGCCCCCUGCCGCCCUUCAGAUUCAUCAAGAACAGAAUCAAUAAGUUGGAGUUUAGGAUGAACAUCAAGAAACCCACCGGAUGUUUUCUAUUCAGGCUGCCUCUGGAUGAAUUUGAUACCAUUGGCAUUUUCCAUGCCUGGUCAGGGCAUUUCAUUGUCAUCCAGUUCCUGCUGAGGAAGGAUCAUGCCAUUGCCUACUACCAGGGCAAGAUGGACAAUACCAUCUACAAGAUGAUGAUGCUUGUGGGCCGCACUCUGGAUGAAAACUCAGACAUCCUGAGGUUCUUUGAGAUGUUUGUGGAGGAGAGAGGACUGAAAAAAGCACUAAUCAUCAGCCCUCCUCAUGCUGACAACUGUGAGUUGACCAGAGAUUACUAAGGUAUGGAGGGACCACUGCAAAUGCUGCCUAGGAGUGAGGACCUAGGCCCACGACCACGUUCGCCCAACCGCAAGCAGAGCUCCCAGGACCCACACCUUGUCACGUUUCUCCUUUCAAUAAAGGCGGCAGAUGUGCCCUGG